CACUGGAAAACCAAUUUUAUUUCUUGUUUUAUUUGUUCAUGUUUAAUGCAUAUCCAUAUCUUUUGAAUUUGGUCCAUAAAGUACAACAGUUCUUUUGUGAUAGCAUAAUAGUAACUCAUGUUUCAUUCCAAAGAUGUCCCUCGAUAUUAGUCUUAUUCUCUCUUUGAAAAUUUCUAAUCACUUGAUACUUUUUUGUGAAGUGUCCACCACUCUCCCCUGACCUUUGAACACAUAUUUAGAAUUCAUUAUAAUGGCUACCUGUGAAGUUGCUGCACAAAAGCAGAUGCAUCAGCUGUUGAUCCCUCGGUCUCGCCGAAGAUGAGCUUGGGGACUCCAAGUCGUAGUUCUCUUCAUGUAACUAAUUUUAAUGAGGGCUUUAUUCAUAAAAUAAAGUGCAGGCUUAGUUCUUCUCUUUUUUCCCCUUUGUUUUUAAACAAGUGGAGAUUUGUCAGCAACAGGUUGUGCUAACAUAUUUGUACAUUAUUUCAAUAAAGGACCAGAAGGAGCUAUUUAGUUCCUCCAAUAUUGUUAA